UACGAAGGGGGCGAGCGUUGUUCGGAUUUACUGGGCGUAAAGGGCGCGCAGGCGGUCUUGAAAGUCAGGCGUGAAAGCCCCGGGCUUAACCUGGGAAUUGCGCUUGAUACUCUGAGACUGGAGUACGGGAGAGGAGAGUGGAAUUCCCAGUGUAGAGGUGAAAUUCGUAGAUAUUGGGAAGAACACCGGUGGCGAAGGCGGCCUUCUGGACAGUGACUGACGCUGAGACACGAAAGCGUGGGGAGCAAACAGG
rnacentral:rRNA from 1 species